rnacentral:tRNA from 1 species
GGUCCCAUCGUCUAGUGGUUAGGACACCAGGUUUUCAUCCUGGAAACAGGGGUUCGAUUCCCCUUGGGACUACCA